rnacentral:rRNA from 1 species
UACAGAGGGUGCAAGCGUUAUCCGGAUUUACUGGGUUUAAAGGGUGCGCAGGCGGAUAUGUAAGUCAGUGGUGAAAUCUCUAGGCUUAACCUGGAAAUUGCCGUUGAUACUAUAUAUCUUGAAUGUUGUGGAGGUAAGCAGAAUAUGUCAUGUAGCGGUGAAAUGCUUAGAUAUGACAUAGAAUACCUAUUGCGAAGGCAGCUUACUACGCAGAUAUUGACGCUCAUGCACGAAAGCGUGGGGAUCAAACAGGA